GACGAACGCUGGCGGCGUGCCUAAUACAUGCAAGUCGAACGAGAUCCCAGACUUCGGUCUGGGGGACAGUGGCGAACGGGUGAGUAACACGUGAGAAACCUGCCCCGGAGACCGGGACAACCGUUGGAAACGACGGCUAAUACCGGAUGCCUUCACAUGGUCGCAUGGCCGAGUGAAGAAAGGCUCCGGCGCUCCGGGAGGGUCUCGCGGCCUAUCAGCUAGUUGGUGGGGUAACGGCCUACCAAGGCAUCGACGGGUAGCUGGUCUGAGAGGACGAUCAGCCACACUGGGACUGAGACACGGCCCAGACUCCUACGGGAGGCAGCAGUAGGGAAUAUUGCGCAAUGGGGGAAACCCUGACGCAGCAACGCCGCGUGUGGGAUGACGGCUUUCGGGUUGUAAACCACUUUCAGUGAUGACGAAAAUGACGGUAAUCACAGAAGAAGGUCCGGCCAACUACGUGCCAGCCGCCGCCGUAACAC
rnacentral:rRNA from 1 species